AGGGUUUGAUCAUGGCUCAGGAUUAACGCUGGCGGCGUGCAUAACACAUGCAAGUCGAACGAUGAAACUUAGAUGAUUUCUUCGGAAUGAACUUAAGUGGAUUAGUGGCGAACGGGUGAGUAACGCGUGAGUAACCUGCCUUACACAAGGGGAUAGCCUCUGGAAACGGAGAAUAAUACCCUAUGACAUUAAUACUUCGCAUGAAGUAUUAAUCAAAGUGUUAGCGGUGUAAGAUGGACUUGCGUCUGAUUAGCUAGUUGGUGAGAUAACAGCCCACCAAGGCAACGAUCAGUAGCCGGCUUGAGAGUGUACGGCCACAUUGGGACUGAGACACGGCCCAG
rnacentral:rRNA from 1 species